GGUUAAGCGACUAAGCGUACACGGUGGAUGCCCUGGCAGUCAGAGGCGAUGAAGGACGUGCUAAUCUGCGAAAAGCGUCGGUAAGGUGAUAUGAACCGUUAUAACCGGCGAUGUCCGAAUGGGGAAACCCAGUGUGAUUCGUCACACUAUCGUUAACUGAAUACAUAGGUUAACGAGGCGAACCGGGGGAACUGAAACAUCUAAGUACCCCGAGGAAAAGAAAUCAACCGAGAUUCCCCCAGUAGCGGCGAGCGAACGGGGAGCAGCCCAGAGUCUGAAUCAGCUUGUGUGUUAGUGGAACGGUCUGGAAAGUCCGACGGUACAGGGUGAUAGUCCCGUACACCAAAAUGCACAGGCUGUGAACUCGAAGAGUAGGGCGGGACACGUGGUAUCCUGUCUGAAUAUGGGGGGACCAUCCUCCAAGGCUAAAUACUCCUGACUGACCGAUAGUGAACCAGUACCGUGAGGGAAAGGCGAAAAGAACCCCGGCGAGGGGAGUGAAAAAGAACCUGAAACCGUGUACGUACAAGCAGUGGGAGCACCUUCGGGUGUGACUGCGUACCUUUUGUAUAAUGGGUCAGCGACUUAUAUUCUGUAGCAAGGUUAACCGUAUAGGGGAGCCGCAGGGAAACCGAGUCUUAACUGGGCGUUAAGUUGCAGGGUAUAGACCCGAAACCCGGUGAUCUAGCCAUGGGCAGGUUGAAGGUUGGGUAACACUAACUGGAGGACCGAACCGACUAAUGUUGAAAAAUUAGCGGAUGACUUGUGGCUGGGGGUGAAAGGCCAAUCAAACCGGGAGAUAGCUGGUUCUCCCCGAAAGCUAUUUAGGUAGCGCCUCGUGAACUCAUCUUCGGGGGUAGAGCACUGUUUCGGCUAGGGGGUCAUCCCGACUUACCAACCCGAUGCAAACUACGAAUACCGAAGAAUGUUAUCACGGGAGACACACGGCGGGUGCUAACGUCCGUCGUGAAGAGGGAAACAACCCAGACCGCCAGCUAAGGUCCCAAAGUCAUGGUUAAGUGGGAAACGAUGUGGGAAGGCACAGACAGCCAGGAUGUUGGCUUAGAAGCAGCCAUCAUUUAAAGAAAGCGUAAUAGCUCACUGGUCGAGUCGGCCUGCGCGGAAGAUGUAACGGGGCUAAACCAUGCACCGAAGCUGCGGCAGCGACACUAUGUGUUGUUGGGUAGGGGAGCGUUCUGUAAGCCUGCGAAGGUGACCUGUGAGGGUUGCUGGAGGUAUCAGAAGUGCGAAUGCUGACAUAAGUAACGAUAAAGCGGGUGAAAAGCCCGCUCGCCGGAAGACCAAGGGUUCCUGUCCAACGUUAAUCGGGGCAGGGUGAGUCGACCCCUAAGGCGAGGCCGAAAGGCGUAGUCGAUGGGAAACAGGUUAAUAUUCCUGUACUUGGUGUUACUGCGAAGGGGGGACGGAGAAGGCUAUGUUAGCCGGGCGACGGUUGUCCCGGUUUAAGCAUGUAGGCUGGUUAUCCAGGCAAAUCCGGAUAAUCAAGGCUGAGGUGUGAUGACGAGGCACUACGGUGCUGAAGUAACAAAUGCCCUGCUUCCAGGAAAAGCCUCUAAGCAUCAGGUAACAUCAAAUCGUACCCCAAACCGACACAGGUGGUCAGGUAGAGAAUACCAAGGCGCUUGAGAGAACUCGGGUGAAGGAACUAGGCAAAAUGGUGCCGUAACUUCGGGAGAAGGCACGCUGGUGUGUAGGUGAAGUCCCUGCGGAUGGAGCUGAGACCAGUCGAAGAUACCAGCUGGCUGCAACUGUUUAUUAAAAACACAGCACUGUGCAAACACGAAAGUGGACGUAUACGGUGUGACGCCUGCCCGGUGCCGGAAGGUUAAUUGAUGGGGUUAUCCGUAAGGAGAAGCUCUUGAUCGAAGCCCCGGUAAACGGCGGCCGUAACUAUAACGGUCCUAAGGUAGCGAAAUUCCUUGUCGGGUAAGUUCCGACCUGCACGAAUGGCGUAAUGAUGGCCAGGCUGUCUCCACCCGAGACUCAGUGAAAUUGAACUCGCUGUGAAGAUGCAGUGUACCCGCGGCAAGACGGAAAGACCCCGUGAACCUUUACUAUAGCUUGACACUGAACAUUGAGCCUUGAUGUGUAGGAUAGGUGGGAGGCUUUGAAGCGUGGACGCCAGUCUGCGUGGAGCCAACCUUGAAAUACCACCCUUUAAUGUUUGAUGUUCUAACGUUGGCCCCUUAUCGGGGUUGCGGACAGUGUCUGGUGGGUAGUUUGACUGGGGCGGUCUCCUCCCAAAGCGUAACGGAGGAGCACGAAGGUUAGCUAAUCCUGGUCGGACAUCAGGAGGUUAGUGCAAUGGCAUAAGCUAGCUUGACUGCGAGCGUGACGGCGCGAGCAGGUGCGAAAGCAGGUCAUAGUGAUCCGGUGGUUCUGAAUGGAAGGGCCAUCGCUCAACGGAUAAAAGGUACUCCGGGGAUAACAGGCUGAUACCGCCCAAGAGUUCAUAUCGACGGCGGUGUUUGGCACCUCGAUGUCGGCUCAUCACAUCCUGGGGCUGAAGUAGGUCCCAAGGGUAUGGCUGUUCGCCAUUUAAAGUGGUACGCGAGCUGGGUUUAGAACGUCGUGAGACAGUUCGGUCCCUAUCUGCCGUGGGCGCUGGAGAAUUGAGGGGGGCUGCUCCUAGUACGAGAGGACCGGAGUGGACGCAUCACUGGUGUUCGGGUUGUCAUGCCAAUGGCACUGCCCGGUAGCUAAAUGCGGAAGAGAUAAGUGCUGAAAGCAUCUAAGCACGAAACUUGCCCCGAGAUGAGUUCUCCCUGAGACUUUAAGUCUCCUGAAGGAACGUUAAAGACGAUGACGUUGAUAGGCCGGGUGUGUAAGCGCAGCGAUGCGUUGAGCUAACCGGUACUAAUGAACCGUGAGGCUUAACCUU
rnacentral:rRNA from 1 species